CCCAGACUCCUACGGGAGGCAGCAGUGAGGAAUAUUGGUCAAUGGCCGAGAGGCUGAACCAGCCAAGUCGCGUGAGGGAAGACGGCCCUACGGGUUGUAAACCUCUUUUGUCGGGGAGCAAAGCGAGUCACGUGUGACUCAUUGAGAGUACCCGAAGAAAAAGCAUCGGCUAACUCCGUGCCAGCAGCCGCGGUAAUACGGAGGAUGCGAGCGUUAUCCGGAUUUAUUGGGUUUAAAGGGUGCGCAGGCGGAAUGUCAAGUCGGCGGUAAAAUUGCGGGGCUCAACCUCGUCGAGCCGUUGAAACUGGGUGCCUUGAGUGGGCGAGAAGUACGCGGAAUGCGUGGUGUAGCGGUGAAAUGCAUAGAUAUCGCGCAGAACUCCGAUUGCGAAGGCAGCAUGCCGGCUCCACACUGACGCUGAGGCACGAAAGCGUGGGUAUCGAACAGGAUUAGAUACCCCCGUA
rnacentral:rRNA from 1 species